CGGGGGGCUGCAGUGGGGAAUUUUGGACAAUGGGGGCAACCCUGAUCCAGCAAUGCCGCGUGAGUGAAGAAGGCCUUCGGGUUGUAAAGCUCUUUUGUCAGGGAAGAAACGGUCUGGGCUAAUAUCCUGGGCUAAUGACGGUACCUGAAGAAUAAGCACCGGCUAACUACGUGCCAGCAGCCGCGGUAAUACGUAGGGUGCAAGCGUUAAUCGGAAUUACUGGGCGUAAAGCGUGCGCAGGCGGUUAUGUAAGACAGGUGUGAAAUCCCCGGGCUUAACCUGGGAAUUGCAUUUGUGACUGCAUGGCUAGAGUGUGUCAGAGGGGGGUAGAAUUCCACGUGUAGCAGUGAAAUGCGUAGAGAUGUGGAGGAAUACCGAUGGCGAAGGCAGCCCCCUGGGAUAACACUGACGCUCAUGCACGAAAGCGUGGGGAGCAAACAGGAUUAGAUACCCGAGUAGUC
rnacentral:rRNA from 1 species